rnacentral:rRNA from 1 species
CGCAAGGUGCACCCAGAAACCCUUUGUGAACUUAUACCUAUUAUCGUUGCCUCGGCGCUGGCUGCCCUGUCCCUCCGGGGAUAGGGGCCCCCUCCCCGGAGGGGACAGCAGGCCCGCCGGCGGCCUACUUAACUCUUGUUUUUACUGAGUAUCUUCUGAGUAAAGCUUCUAAAUGAAUCAAAACUUUCAACAACGGAUCUCUUGGUUCUGGCAUCGAUGAAGAACGCAGCGAAAUGCGAUAAGUAAUGUGAAUUGCAGAAUUCAGUGAAUCAUCGAAUCUUUGAACGCACAUUGCGCCCUCUGGUAUUCCAGAGGGCAUGCCUGUUCGAGCGUCAUUUCAACCCUCAAGCCUAGCUUGGUGUUGGGGCAUUACCUGACUGUUUACAGGAGGGUAAGCCCUGAAAUUUAGUGGCGAGCUCGCCAGGACUCCGAGCGCAGUAGUAAAACCCUCGUUUUGGAUCGUACUGGCGCGGCCCUGCCGUAAAACCCCCAACUUCUGAAAAUUUGACCUCGGAUCAGGUAGGAAUACCCGCUGAACUUAAGCAUAUCAAUAAGCGGAGGAAAAGAAACCAACAGGGAUUGCCCUAGUAACGGCGAGUGAAGCGGCAACAGCUCAAAUUUGAAAGCUGGCUCCGGCCCGCAUUGUAAUUUGCAGAGGAUGCUUUUGGUGAGGUGCCUUCCGAGUUCCCUGGAACGGGACGCCACAGAGGGUGAGAGCCCCGUAUGGAUGGACACCAAACCUGUGUAAAGCUCCUUCAACGAGUCGAGUAGUUUGGGAAUGCUGCUCAAAAUGGGAGGUAAAUCUCUUCUAAAGCUAAAUAC